rnacentral:rRNA from 1 species
CUAAGAAUAUUGGGCAAUGGAGGAAACUCUGACCCAGCCAUGCCGCGUGAAUGAAGAAGGCCUUCGGGUUGUAAAGUUCUUUUAGUCGUGAAGAUGAUGACAGUAGCGACAGAAAAAGCACCGGCUAACUUCGUGCCAGCAGCCGCGGUAAUACGAAGGGUGCAAGCGUUGUUCGGAUUUACUGGGCGUAAAGCGUCCGUAGGUGGUUUGUUAAGUCAGGGGUGAAAUCCCGGGGCCCAACCCCGGAACUGCCUUUGAUACUGGCAAGCUGGAGCGUGAUAGAGGAAGAUGGAACAUCUGGUGUAGGGGUGAAAUCCGUAGAUAUCAGAUAGAACACCAAUGGCGAAGGCAGUCUUCUGGAUCAUCGCUGACACUGAGGGACGAAAGCGUGGGUAGCAAACAGA